GCGGAAGUGGUGUAAUGGCAGCACACAGGCCUUCAGAGCCUGACGGCGUACCUCCAGUACGCAAGGGCGGGUUCGAAUCCCGUCUUCCGCUC
rnacentral:tRNA from 1 species